rnacentral:rRNA from 1 species
GCCGACGAGUGGCGCACGGGUGAGUAACGCGUAGGUAAGCUACCAUUAGGUUAGGGAUAGCCCUACGAAAGUAGGAUUAAUACCUUUUAUACUUGUUAUACUUAAGUAUAAUAAGGAAAGGCUUUUGCCGCCUUUUGAUGUGCCUGCGUUGGAUUAGCUUGUUGGUGGGGUAACGGCUCACCAAGGCGACGAUCUAUAGCCGAGCUGAGAGGCUGAUCGGCCACAUUGGAACUGAGACACGGUCCAGACUCCUACGGGAGGCAGCAGCUAAGAAUCUUCCGCAAUAGACGAAAGUCUGACGGAGCGACGCCGCGUGAAUGAUGAAGGCCCUUCGGGUUGUAAAGUUCUUUUAUAGGGGAAGAAAGUUUGGUGUAGUCCAAUCUGACGGUACCCUCUGAAUAAGGUCCGGCUAACUACGUGCCAGCAGCCGCGGUAAUACGUAGGGACCUAGCGUUGUUCGGAAUUAUUGGGCGUAAAGGGUACGUAGGCGGCUUAGUAAGUCGGAUGUGAAAGUCUCGGGCUCAACCUGAGGAUUGCGUCCGAUACUGCUGAGCUAGAGUUAUGGAGAGGAAGGCGGAAUUCCUGGUGUAGGGGUGAAAUCUAUAGAUAUCAGGAAGAACAUCGGUUGCGAAGGCUGCCUUCUGGACAUAAACUGACGCUGAUGUACGAAAGUUAGGGUAGCAAACAGGAUUAGAGACCCUGGUAGUCCUAACCGUAAACGUUGUAUACUAGGUGGUGGGAGUAAUGAUCCUUUCACUGCCGGAGCUAACGCAUUAAGUAUACCGCCUGGGGAGUAUGCCGGCAACGGUGAAACUCAAAGGAAUUGACGGGGGCCCGCACAAGCAGUGGAGCAUGUUGUUUAAUUCGAUGAUACGCGAGUAACCUUACCAGGUCUUGACAUAUACUUGAAUGGCAUGGAAACAUGUCAGCUUUUCGGAGCAGGUAUACAGGUGCUGCAUGGUUGUCGUCAGCUCGUGCCGUGAGGUGUUGGGUUAAGUCCCGCAACGAGCGCAACCCUUAUUCUUUGUUGCUAACGUGUAAUGGCGAGCACUCUAAGGAGACUGCCGGUGACAAACCGGAGGAAGGUGGGGAUGACGUCAAAUCAUCACGGCCCUUACGACCUGGGCUA